UACGUAGGGUGCGAGCGUUAAUCGGAAUUACUGGGCGUAAAGCGUGCGCAGGCGGUUGUACAAGACAGGUGUGAAAUCCCCGGGCUUAACCUGGGAACUGCACUUGUGACUGUACGACUGGAGUACGGCAGAGGGGGAUGGAAUUCCGCGUGUAGCAGUGAAAUGCGUAGAUAUCGGGAGGAACACCAGUGGCGAAGGCGACUACCUGGCCUGUUCUUGACGCUGAGGCGCGAAAGCUAGGGGAGCAAACGGG
rnacentral:rRNA from 1 species